CUGUUUGUCUAUUUUGAGCCACUGUAGUAACAAUAUAGCCAGAAACACUUCCUCAAAAUAGAUACAUCAAGAAAUCUAUAUAGAAUUCUUUACGUUUUGCAGAGGAGGUCUUAGUUGCACAAUUACACAUCAGUUUAGUGCAGUAAUUCUCAAGUGGAUGAUAGCAAACACUUCAUUGAAGAAUCCCGUCCAUAGUUCCCACCCCUACUGUAAACCAAUCACUGAUGAAGGGGUGUAGACUUUGACUACUAAACUUCCACUUGCCUCAACAAAAGAAAUUGGUGUAACACGAGUUCCGUCACUAAAAUGGAAACAAACGAUUGGCUUCUAUUCGAAACCAAUCAACCAUUUUCUUACACGUCAUUAGAUUGCGACUCAAUCACGUUGAGGACAACACGCUUGACGGUACCGAAUGUAAAAUAUUUUCGUAGCAAUUUUCCUCAAUGUUUCAACAGAAUACAAUCCGGGUUACGAAUCGUAUAUUUUGGCAAAGUUAUACUUUGUUGAGAUCAUGGACUCAGUUAUCAAGGACAAGACUACUGCACGUACAACCGCUUGCAUCAGGGACCAGUCAAUGGUCCUCUUCACAGUCAAGACACAGCAGUGGUCCGAUUUUGCCAGUUGCUUUCAGGCAGUAUCGAAGAGACGUACCUCUACAUAACCAAUUCUCUACCACAACACACGUCUGCAGCGAUUCUAUUGGGAAGAUUCAUUCAACGCAUUACCACUUGGUUUACACAUGCAAGGUCAACGAAGAUGAUAUCCAAGGUAGCCUAUCAUAAAGGUGUUGUCCUAGUGACCUGCCCAGGAUGUGAAAAACACCACAUUAUUGCUGACAACUUGGGUUGGUUCUCUGAUCUGAAGGGAAAGAGGAACAUUGAGGAAAUCCUUGCAGCGAAAGGGGAGAAAGUGAAGAGGGUAGAAGAAGAGGCGGCCUUCGAGAUUGUUAUAGAUGAGUCCGGCAAGGAUACAACACAGACUGCUCAAGAUGCAAAGAAACCUUCACCAGAGUCUGAUGACUCAGGGAAAUCAUGACUAACUCUCUGUGGGUGUGUGUGCGCACAACAAGGACAUCGUUCUCUAUGAGGGGAAAAAUUGCUAUGGAACACUUCUUUUGAUAUUUCUAUCUCCAUGUUGUUUUCAUAAGAUGUUGAUCAUUUCUUAUCAAUUUCUUAUACCAACUGAACACUACUGCCAGAAUAUUCCUUGGGUUUACACCAAUCUUACUACUACUGCACUGAUCACACUCAAACAGAAGAGGCUGAUGCUUACAAUUAAUUUUUAUUGUAAAGUUGUAUGAUAUAAAGCAUGAAGAAUUAACAUCCAAAGGCCCAUUUAGGGCCAUGGCAAACUGCCUAUCAUAGACCCUCUCCCUCUUCCUCCAUGGUGUCCUCCAGCAGCACAUGAAAGCAAUGCUGUCAAUCCACAUGGAAGCAGAACAUAGAGUGCUCCUGUAUAACAAUUAUCCCGUCAGGAAUUAGUAGAACAGUCAUUGAACGAAUGGGAUUCACAGUAAUACAUUUGUCUGAAAAUGUUCAAUCAUGAACCCCAGUUCUGGAGCCCCUAUCCUCUCAUCACAAGCCCAAUCACUUACCUCAUCUGCUCUUCUGUGUUUUCCUCUUCCUGCCUCGCUCCCUUUCAUCCUUUCCUAUUGAUGCUUCAACAGAUAAAGAGACCUCAUAUGCCACAAUCUGUUUCAGGAAAAACACAUCUGAAAGCCCACUCACUUGAGGUGAAUAAUCACAUGAGAUCAGGAAUUGAAUACAGUUGUCUACAGAGAACAGGCUUUGAUAGUAAACACUUACCUAAUGUAGUCAUCCAGCUGUGCUCCUCCUCCAACCCUCCCAUCCUUUCCAAUUGCUGCUUCAACAGAUCUGUUUCUUUGGCUACUCUUUUCAUCUAUCUCAGACUUGAACAGGCUUAGAAAGAGGACAAAAGGAAGCCAAAGCAACUUUAACUUGACCUUUUAUCCCAUGGUCCUUCCUGAUUCUGUCCAUCAGAACUUGAAUUCUAUAUCUCCUACUUCCCUCCUGAUAAACCACUCUGGUCUCUCUUCCUCCUCUCUCAUGUUUCCUCCUCUUCACCCUCAUGCCUGGCUUCCUUAUAAUUUGUUCCUCCUUUUGCUUAUUUUCUCGAUUGUCUUUACUCUUCAAAAAAAACUAAUUUGUUGUUUAUUUACAUCUAUCAACAUACCUAGGAGCAUUGACUUGUACAUUUCUUUUGUCUGCUCCCUUUCUUUUGUCAUCUACUGAAAAGUUGUCGAUGCCUCGUCCGCCGCUUUCUUCUGCUUCUUCCUUGUUCUCCUCUUUGCAGACUGUGCGUGAGCGGUCUCUGGACGCUGCUCCCUCUCUUCCCUCCGCACAGAGGCGUCAGAUGUAGACGUUGUGACCUCGUAUGCCACCACCUGUUUUGCUCUCUGUGUCUGUCCUUUUUUCUGACACAGCGCACGUCUCUUUUCUCUUUCAAUCUGUGCAUUCCUCUCUUCUCUCUCAUACAGUUUCUCCAUCUCCAUCUUGAACCUGGCCUCGUGAUCUUUUAUUCUUUGAAGAUCUGCUCUCUUCUUAUCCUCGUCCCGUAUCCUUGUCUGCCUUUUCUGUUCCUCCUUCUCUUGUUCCUGCUGUAUCUUCAAUCUCCUUUUCUGUUCCUCUUUCCUCCUCUUCCCUUCUUUCUCUCGUGCCUUUUGCUGCAUCUCCAACACCUUCAUUCUCUCCUUUUCCCUGUUCCUCUCCUCCUCCAUCCUCUGUUUCUCCAUCUUUUUCUCUUCCUCUGCCCUCUUUUUCUCUUCUUUUGCACGGGCCUUCUGUUGCAUCUCCUGCUGCUUUCUUUCUUUUUUCUCGCGCUUUUUCUCUUGCUCUUGUCUCUUUUUCUCAUGUUCGAUCUUUAGUUUCAUCUCUGCCUUCUCCCUUUUCCUCUGCUCCUCUAACUUGUUUUUUUCCAUAUUUUCUGUCCUUUUCCUUUCCUCCUCAUUCAAUUUCUUCUGCCUCUUUUCCCACUUUUUGAGCUCUUCGUCCCUGGCUUUUUCCUUCCUCCUUUCAAUCUUCAUCAUCUCUUCAUUUCUCUUAGCCUCAUACUUGAAAUAUUUGAUCCUGUCUGCGUAGCUCAUGGCAUUAAGUUCUUCUAUCCCUCGGCUCGCCAUCAUAGACAUUGCAUUGGCGGUUGCAAAUCUCCCUUCCAUUUUACCACUAUCAAUCUCCUUCCUGUCCCUCUUACCAUAAGGAUCCCUGUGUAGACAUCUCUGCUGUUGUCCACUCAUGCUCUCCUCACUUUCACUACUCCCCUCCUGACUUGUGUCCUCACUCACACUCUGAGACACAUCAUGCUCAGACGAGCACGAGGGAGUCACAGCAUUCUCAGUGAUGACGCGGAGCGCCUUGAUGUAGUCAGCUUCUGUGUUCACUCUGUGAGCGAGCGGGCACAGCUCCUCGUAAAUGGAUUUCCAUGUGAGUGACUCCUCACAAACGUCGUUAGGCAGGUAUAGAUCAGAUGAUUGCCUCUUGAGCACAUUCACAACCUCUGCCAGGUCCUGCUGGGUGCCCCCCUGAGUGUCCUCUCGGGCGGCCACUGGCGUGGCCUCUGGGCUGGCCGGACGCUCGGGGGCUGUGGCAGGGGUAUUAGAUCGUUUUACUGCAGAGAAGCAGGAGGCCUCAGUGUCAUCGUUCUUGUCAUCACUGUUUGCCAUUUUCUUCAGAAUCUCUUCCUUUCUCUUUUGGGCCAUCCUCUCUUUCAGCUGUGCUUUAUACAUGCUUGCAAUUUCUGCUCCUCUCCGUUGAACUUCCUCAGACAAUUCCUCAGACGAUGCAGUCUCUGGCCUCUUAACCUCAUCCUUGACCUUUGCCUGGCCAGUCAAUGGGGACCUGGGGUGGACCUGCGGAUGGGUCAAUCUCAUCCGGGCAGGAGGGCCGGAAGCCAGGAGGUGGGAUGGGACAGCAAAUCGGUGUGAAGCGUGUGGGUGUGACGUCUUGGACGGAGAAUGAGGCCAUUUAUCAGGGGAGUUGCAGCUCUGUGUGUCCAGAGGGGGAAAGAUUGAGUGUUUCUUAGGUGGGUCCUUCUGGGUGCCGGCAGCAUGCUGGUCAGGCUCCGAUUGGCUGUUGGCGAGGUACCUGUGGUGGUUGUACCAGGGGAAAGCUGGCAGUGUCGGGGAGACGGGACAAAUAAUGGAGGAGGUGGAGCGCUGCUUGAUCACCCCUUUAUCCACCCCAAUCUGUAUGAUGACAGACCCACUUUUAUUACUUAAUAACUUGAUGGUUAUUGUUAUUACUAUCUUAAAACAAUUACAUGUGUAUGGGUAAUAAAUAUCAUAGAGAAAACACGUUUUAUUACUGUAUAUUAGCCUAUUAGGAAAAUGGGAAGGUCCACACUUUUGGAAUCAUUCCAAUUCAGAAAUUCUUCCAUUCCUUUACAACUUUAUUCUAAGAAUGCACACCUUCCUAAGAAUACUACCAUUGCAGAACACAGGCCUUCCUCAGAAUACUACCAUUGCAGAAUGCAGACCUUCUUAAAAAUAGUACCAGUCAAGAAUUCAGACCUUCCUGAGAAUACUACCAGUGCAGAAUGCAGACCUUCCUGGGAAUACUACCAGUGCAGAAUGCAGACCUUCCUGAGAAUACUACCAGUGCAGAAUGCAGACCUUCUUAAUAAUACUACCAGUGCAGAAUGCAGACCUUCCUGAGAAUACUACCAGUGCAGAAUGCAGACCUUCUUAAUAAUACUACCAGUGCAGAAUUCAGACCUUCCUGAGAAUACUACCAGUGCAGAUUGCAGAACUUCUAAAUAAUCUACCAGUGCAGAAUUCAGACCUUCCUGAGAAUACUACCAGUGCAGAAUGCAGACCUUCCUGGGAAUACUACCAGUGCAGAAUGCAGACCUUCCUGAGAAUACUACCAGUGCAGAAUGCAGACCUUCUUAAUAAUACUACCAAUGCAGAAUGCAGAACUUCUUAAUAAUACUACAAGUGCAGAAUGCAGACCGUCUUAAUAAUACUACCAGUGCAGAAUGCAGAACUUCUUAAUAAUACUACCAGUGCAGAAUGCAGACCUUCUUAAUAAUACUACCAGUGCAGAAUGCAGAACUUCUUAAUAAUACUACCAGUGCAGAAUGCAGACCUUCUUAAUAAUACUACCAGUGCAGAAUGCAGACCUUCUUAAUAAUACUACCAGUGCAGAAUGCAGAACUUCUUAAUAAUACUACCAGUGCAGAAUGCAGACCUUCUUAAAAAUACUACCAGUGCAGAAUUCAGAGCUUCCUGAGAAUACUACCAGUGCAGAAUGCAGACCUUCCUGGGAAUACUACCAGUGCAGAAUGCAGACCUUCCUGAGAAUACUACCAGUGCAGAAUGCAGACCUUCUUAAUAAUACUACCAGUGCAGAAUGCAGAUCUUCUUAAUAAUACUACCAGUGCAGAAUGCAGACCUUCUUAAUAAUACUACAAGUGCAGAAUGCAGACCUUCUUAAUAAUACUACCAGUGCAGAAUUCUGACCUUCCUGAGAAUACUCCCUAUGCAGAAUGCAGACCUUCUUAAUAAUACUACCAGUGCAGAAUUCAGACCUUCCUGAGAAUACUACCAGUGCAGAAUGCAGACCUUCUUAAUAAUACUACCAGUGCAGAAUGCAGACCUUCUUAAUAAUACUACCAGUGCAGAAUGCAGACCUUCUUAAUAAUACUACCAGUGCAGAAUUCAGACUUUCUUAAUAAUACUACCAGUGCAGAAUGCAGACGUUCUUAAUAAUACUACCAGUGCAGAAUUCAGACCGUCUUAAUAAUACUACCAGUGCAGAAUGCAGACCUUCUUAAUAAUACUACCAGUGCAGAAUGCAGACCUUCUUAAUAAUACUACCAGUGCAGAAUUCAGACCUUCCUGAGAAUACUUCCAGUGUGCAGUUAUUUUCUUGCCUUCUUAUUUCACUAUUCUAUCUAUUUAGAUCUAAUUUCUGUAUAUCAGGAUUGGGACCAUCUAAAGCAACUGCAGUAUAUCUACUGAUAUGAAAGACUGAUUAAAGAAAACUGCUCUUGUUACCUCCGCCAAGAGUUGGUGCAGCCUAAAUAUUUCUCCAUACAGCGCCUUAAUCUCCCUCAUGUUUCCUCGCUCAGUUCUCCAUGUCUCUCUAGCCAAUCUCCAAUGGGCGAGGUCAAGGUCAUGGAUAUCCUCCCGCAUGCCUAGUUCAACCUGGGUUCCCUUCUCAUUUAGCCUCUUCUUUUUCCUCUUCUUCUGGAUUGAAUCGGUGUUCUCCUUGUCCUGCCUACACACCUUUGGGGCAGUAGGGAUAUUGAGAAUAGAACAUGGUAUAUUUUAUUUUACUCAUUGGAUUAUUAUGUGCCUUCCAUUGUAUUUCAUUAUUAUAGAAUAUCAAUAAGGUAUAAUGUUGACACUAGAUCAAGCCGUAGUUUGUACAAAGUUUACACUGAUUGGCCAUACAUGAUUAGUCUGGACCCCUUUAGUGGGUCGUAGAUUUAGCCUGCAGAUGGGACUUACAUUAAGGCUGGGGAGUUGUGAGGAGUUGUGAGGCUGGUGUGUUCUGGGCCUGUGGAGUUCAGUAGUUCCUGUACAGAAAUCAUCCUGUGCAGUCCGUUUUGCCCAUGGCUAGAAAUGAAAAUGAUGACAAACAUGCAGUCAGAAAUGAGGUUAUCAUGAUACAAGCUUGUUAUUUUCAAUCUUAGAAAAGCUCAUAGGCCUAUAUGUCAAAGUGAUGAUUUUAAAUCACUGGAGUUUUGACUAUGGGGGUGGUGAGAGAAAAGAGAUUCUAACCAUUCUUAUGAUGAGCCUUGGAAAGGAGAACUUUCCCAUAGUUCCUUCAAUUACAGUAAUCCUGAAAAAGAUACAAUAUGGCUUAAAAUUAUGAUUAUAUUAUUCAAAUUAUCUAAAUUAAAUUGUGCCACAAAGUAGGCCUUUUCACACUAAAUCACAAGUGGUCACAACUACUUACCACCAAAAUAACCAUCUAAAAUAUAGCAAUGAUUUUGACCCUGAAUUGAACUUGUAAGUGUUGCUGUAAUAUGACAGUAAUGCUAUGGCAAACCUUUUAGGCUGUCAUCAAACCAGAAUACAAUCAUUUAUGACAUCACAAUUGUGAUGUAAUGUGGUGCCAUGGGAAGCCACACCCACCAUGACAGACAACAAAUCACCAGAGCCACAUAGGCCUAUUAACCAAUGAAUCCACUUCUAUGUUUGAAAUACAGUAUAUUUAGUACUAGUAAGCUCAUAAACAUAGUAAAAACCCCACUGUAGCAAUGUGUAUCACUUCACAGCUACUGUUCAUGAUGCAUCAUGAGUGGCUGUCCUCUGAUGGGACCCUAUUCCCUACAUAGUGUACAACUUUUGACCAGGGCUGAUAAUGUACUUUAUAGGGUUGAUUUGGGAUGCACAUAGGACUAUGUAAAAAGUACCUUUGUUCAUCCUCAUAUUCAAUUUUGCUUUGACAUUAACAGAUUUUUACUAAGUGAAAAUUAUGGGACAACAAGAAAGGCAUGUAUUCAUAAGAAAGACUGUAUGUGUUGUAAAUUCAAUGUAGAUUCCAGUUUCAAAUGGUAGACAUUGUAACUCUUCAGGAUGUGGCAGAGUAUGAAAACUUUGCACUGUCUCUGAUGCAGGUGUUUUUUUUCUCCCACUCAUUAUGACAUCACUGUGACAUCAUAUGGUGGACAUUGUCCCUGAGUUUGGCAUCUCCGGGGAUAAUAUGCUGUGUGCAGACCACUGUCACACAUAUGCACUAGUGCAAUCAUUGUAUUUCCUCCUGCAUGAAUGUAUAAUUGCAACAUUACAUCAUUUUUAC